AAGUCGUAAUAAGGUUGAAGACCCUCCCUUUCUCGAGGGUGGGCUCGUAUAUAGAGAAGCCCUUCUGCUCAUACUACGAAAGCCUUGGACAGCCACAUAGCAAUACGCUGAGGGACACGCUUUUGAAAAACAAGUCCCUCUUAAUGGCUAGUAAAGUUUUCUACGAAACUUUGCGACAUUGUCGAAAUUGCGGGGAAGCCCUUAGAGCUUUUGAAUACCGUCUCGUGCUAGAAAUACCACGGGACACCCUUGUUAGCACAAGGGGUACGGUCACAACUUCAGAAGGUUGGGUGAUCCGCAGCCAAGACCCCUAAGCCUAGCUAGGGGUAUGGUCCACAGAUCAAGCGACAGUGGGUUCAGCUUGGUAAGGAAGUUGAGCUUAAGAUAUGGUCGAGUCCCUCAGGGUGACCUUUGGGUUUAAUGAACACGUUUCGUAGGUGAACCUGCGGAAGGAUCAUUAGUGAAAUUCGGAGUCCCUCCUAACCGGAGAAGGCCCAACUACACUUAUUCUUUACACUGGCAUUUGUCCCCCCUACCAUUUUUUAACACUUGGUGCCAAUUUAGAGCAGUGACUUGAUACAAACGGAAGUUGAUUAUUAAAAGAAAAA
rnacentral:misc_RNA from 1 species